rnacentral:rRNA from 1 species
GGAGUCUAGCAUGUGCGCGAGUCAUUGGGACAUUACUAAACCUAAAGGCGCAAUGAAAGUGAAGGCCCGCCUUGCGCGGGCCGAGGGAGGAUGAGCGGCUGUUGCGGCUGCCGCUUCGCACUCCCGGGGCGUCUCGUUCUCAUUGCGAGAAGAGGCGCACCAAGAGCGUACACGCUGGGACCCGAAAGAUGGUGAACUAUGCCUGGUCAGGACGAAGUCAGGGGAAACCCUGAUGGAGGUCCGUAGCGAUUCUGACGUGCAAAUCGAUCGUCGGAACUGGGUAUAGGGGCGAAAGACUAAUCGAACCAUCUAGUAGCUGGUUCCCUCCGAAGUUUCCCUCAGGAUAGCUGGCGCUCGUUGCGUACGAGUUUCAUCCGGUAAAGCGAAUGAUUAGAGGCAUUGGGGUCGAAACGGCCUCAACCUAUUCUCAAACUUUAAAUGGGUGAGAUCUCCGGCUUGCUCGAACUUAUGAAGCCGGAGACUCGAAUCAGAGUGCCAAGUGGGCCAUUUUUGGUAAGCAGAACUGGCGCUGUGGGAUGAACCAAACGCCGAGUUAAAGCGCCUAAAUCGACGCUUAUGGGAUACCAUGAAAGGCGUUGGUAACUUAAGACAUCAGGACGGUGGCCAUGGAAGUC